rnacentral:lncRNA from 1 species
UUCAGUCCGUCGACUGCUUCUGAGAAACUGACUAUUUCGGGGUCCUCCUUUCCUCCAGCUCUAAACCCUCCCAAACAAGGUUUCAACCCAUACACUUGGAAGCACAAAAAUCCCUCAACAUACCAUAGAUUACCACUCAAAUACCAACCAAACAAUACAACUAUCAACUUCAACAACUAACAACCUUAACAACAAUUCCAACAACUUCAACAACGAAUCCAAUCCUUUCUCCAUAAAUAAAAGGGGCUAGGUGUGUGGGGGAAAGGAUCACCCAACACUAAAAGCUCACAUACCUUGGUAGGGAUCACCCCCGAC